rnacentral:rRNA from 1 species
CGUCAAAUCAUCAUGCCCCUUAUGACCUGGGCUACACACGUGCUACAAUGGUUGGUACAACGAGUUGCGAGUCGGUGACGGCGAAGCUAAAUCUCUUAAAGCCAAUCUCAGUUCGGAUUGUAGGCUGCAACUCGCCUACAUGAAGUCGGAAUCGCUAGUAAUCGCGGAUCAGCACGCCGCGGUGAAUACGUUCCCGGGCCUU